CCCGCUGAACUUAAGCAUAUCAAUAAGCGGAGGAAAAGAAACCAACAGGGAUUACCCUAGUAACGGCGAGUGAAGCGGUAACAGCUCAAAUUUGAAAUCUGACCUUCACGGGUUCGAGUUGUAAUUUGUAGAGGAUGUUUCGGAUAAGGCUUUGGUUUAAGUUUCUUGGAACAGAACGUCAUAGAGGGUGAGAGUCCCGUCUAGAACCGAUAGCCGCGUCCAUGUGAAACUCCUUCGACGAGUCGAGUUGUUUGGGAAUGCAGCUCAAAAUGGGUGGUAAAUUUCAUCUAAAGCUAAAUAUUGGCCAGAGACCGAUAGCGCACAAGUAGAGUGAUCGAAAGAUGAAAAGCACUUUGAAAAGAGAGUUAAACAGUAUGUGAAAUUGUUGAAAGGGAAGCGCUUGCAACCAGACCUGCCUGCAGUUGCUCAUCCGGGCUUUUGCCCGGUGCACUCUUCUGCUGUCAGGCCAGCAUCAGUCCGGGCGGUCGGAUAAAGGCUUCGGGAAUGUAGCUCCUCUCGAGGAGUGUUAUAGCCCGUUGCGAAAUGCGGCCAGCCUGAACUGAGGUCCGCGCUUCGGCUAGGAUGCUGGCGUAAUGGUUGUAAGCGGCCCGUCUUGAAACACGG
rnacentral:rRNA from 1 species